rnacentral:rRNA from 1 species
GAUCAUUAAUGCCGGUGAGUGAAGAAGGCCUUCGGGUUGUAAAGCUCUUUUGUCAGGAAAGAAACAGCAGCUCUAACACAGUCUGCGAAUGACGGUACCUGAAGAAUAAGCACCGGCUAACUACGUGCCAGCAGCCGCGGUAAUACGUAGGGUGCACGCGUUAAUCGGAAUUACUGGGCGUAAAGCGUGCGCAGGCGGUUAUACAAGACAGGCGUGAAAUCCCCGGGCUUAACCUGGGAAUGGCGUCUGUGACUGUAUAGCUAGAGUGUGUCAGAGGGGGGUGGAAUUCCACGUGUAGCAGUGAAAUGCGUAGAUAUGUGGAGGAACACCAAUGGCGAAGGCAGCCCCCUGGGAUAACACUGACGCUCAUGCACGAAAGCGUGGGGAGCAAACAGGAUUAGAUACCCUGGUAGUCCACGCCCUAAACGAUGCUGACUUAGUCGUUGGGAAUCUACAUUCUCAGUAACGUAGC